rnacentral:rRNA from 1 species
AGUUGAUCAUGGCUCGAGGACGAACGCUGGCGGCGUGCCUAACACAUGCAAGUCGAGCGAGGAGAUUCCUUCGGGAUGAUCCUAGCGGCGGACGGGUGAGUAACACGUGGGCAACCUGCCUCAUAGAGAGGAAUAGCCUUCCGAAAGGGAGAUUAAUACCUCAUAACAUUGCAGUUUCGCAUGGAACAGCAAUUAAAGGAGCAAUCCGCUAUGAGAUGGGCCCGCGGCGCAUUAGCUAGUUGGUGAGGUAACGGCUCACCAAGGCGACGAUGCGUAGCCGACCUGAGAGGGUGAUCGGCCACAUUGGGACUGAGACACGGCCCAGACUCCUACGGGAGGCAGCAGUGGGGAAUAUUGCACAAUGGGGGAAACCCUGAUGCAGCCAACGCCGCGUGAGUGAUGACGGCCUUCGGGUUGUAAAGCUCUGUCUUCAGGGACGAUAAUGACGGUACCUGAGGAGGAAGCCACGGCUAACUACGUGCCAGCAGCAGC